UAUGCCACCGUGCAGACUGUGGGGAUGACCCUGGCCACUAUCAUGUUCGUGCUGGGCAUCAUCAUCAUCAUCAGCAAGAAGGUUAAGUGCAGGAAGGCGGACUCCAGCCCAACAUGCAAAUCCUGUAAGUCGGAACUGCCCUCCUCAGCCCCUGGAGGUGGCGGUGUGUAGGAUCCUCUGCAGAUUUCCACUGCUGUCCCUGGCCAGAGCGCAGGAGCCUGAGGACCCAGAGAAGGCGGUGGGGACCCAGCCUGGCGCCAGGGAGUGCUCCCCCAAUGAGCCGCCACACCCAUACCAAGGCCGGAGCCAAUGCACCCUGCUCGCUCUCCCUCCCCAGGCCGUGGCAACGACGACGAUCCCCAAAGAGCCUAUUUG
rnacentral:lncRNA from 1 species